UGGGCUAUCGCCAAGCGGUAAGGCACUGGCUUUUGAUGCCAGCAUUCCUGGUUCGAAUCCAGGUAGCCCAGCCA
rnacentral:tRNA from 1 species